ACGAACGCUGGCGGCGUGCUUAACACAUGCCAGUCGAACGGAAAGGCCCUGCUUUUGUGGGGUGCUCGAGUGGCGAACGGGUGAGUAACACGUGAGUAACCUGCCCUUGACUUUGGGAUAACUUCAGGAAACUGGGGCUAAUACCGGAUAGGAGCUCCUGCUGCAUGGUGGGGGUUGGAAAGUUUCGGCGGUUGGGGAUGGACUCGCGGCUUAUCAGCUUGUUGGUGGGGUAGUGGCUUACCAAGGCUUUGACGGGUAGCCGGCCUGAGAGGGUGACCGGCCACAUUGGGACUGAGAUACGGCCCAGACUCCUACGGGAGGCAGCAGUGGGGAAUAUUGCACAAUGGGCGGAAGCCUGAUGCAGCAACGCCGCGUGCGGGAUGACGGCCUUCGGGUUGUAAACCGCUUUCGCCUGUGACGAAGCGUGAGUGACGGUAAGGGGUAAAGAAGCACCGGCUAACUACGUGC
rnacentral:rRNA from 1 species